rnacentral:rRNA from 1 species
GAUGAACGCUGGCGGCGUGCCUAAUACAUGCAAGUCGAGCGAACAGAUGAGGAGCUUGCUCCUCUGACAUUAGCGGCGGACGGGUGAGUAACACGUGGAUAACCUACCUAUAAGACUGGGAUAACUUCGGGAAACCGGAGCUAAUACCGGAUAAUAUAUUGAACCGCAUGGUUCUAUAGUGAAAGACGGUUUUGCUGUCACUUAUAGAUGGAUCCGCGCCGCAUUAGCUAGUUGGUAAGGUAACGGCUUACCAAGGCAACGAUGCGUAGCCGACCUGAGAGGGUGAUCGGCCACACUGGAACUGAGACACGGUCCAGACUCCUACGGGAGGCAGCAGUAGGGAAUCUUCCGCAAUGGGCGAAAGCCUGACGGAGCAACGCCGCGUGAGUGAUGAAGGUCUUCGGAUCGUAAAACUCUGUUAUUAGGGAAGAACAAAUGUGUAAGUAACUAUGCACGUCUUGACGGUACCUAAUCAGAAAGCCACGGCUAACUACGUG